ensembl:lncRNA
CUGGAGAGGCGAUCAACAUUUGGAAGAGUGGAGCUAUCCAACUCUUCGUCAACAGUUACGGUGACCGACGAAGCAACCCAGAGUGGACUUCCUUCCUUCGACUGGACUCCACAAGGAACUGGAGCUUUGGUACCAGCAGCGGCCCCUUGCGCCCAUCUGCCUCCUCGAGGAGUGCAGACGAAUUUGGUACCACUGUCUUGGUCAAUAUACACAGAGAGAAAUAACAUACUGAACACCAAUAAACGCAACUUAACUGUCAGUUGACUUCCUACUUCCUAAGAGCUACAUCGAAAGCCAAAGGCAGUGAGGGGGCCACACGUCAAAGAAGUGAGGACUUAAAUCCUACAGUUGCAAGGAACUGAAUUCUGCCAAGAAUAAGCUUGGAAAAUGACUCUUCCCCAGGGCCUCCAAUGAGAAUUCAGCUGGGCCAUAACCCUGAUUGCAUCCUUGUGGUAACUUCAGCAGAGCCCUGUCCAGCCAUGCUGGGCCUCCAUACAGAACUGAGAAAAGGCUGCUGCUUGUGGUGAUGAUCAAUGGGGGACCGAUGUACAUGGACAUUUAUAUUGUUGGACUUGCACCUUUUACUUAUGCUUGUGCUUGAAUUAAAUCCGUUAUAACCAAAGAAGGGAUUUGAACAUGGAGUAAAGUUGGCUUGACUGCCUGUAUCCUGACCCCAUCAAGCAUGGAAUCACUACUAACAAAAUACGUGAAACAUGAUCAAAAACCCUGGAGGCUUAAGACAGCAACUCCAUUGACUCCAACAGGCACUUCAACAGAUUUUAACAGAUGUGAGAUGAAUGACACAAAAUAAAUAAAACCUAAUGUGAACAAUCAGCCACAAGAUGGCAUUUGAAUACUAAUGUAUUUAAAGUUUGGGGCAGUAACUUAAACACAUGGCUAUUUUAAUCUUUUCCCUUCCCCGGUCACUUUUUCUCAUAUUGCCAUGUAAGAAGAUCACAACUUUAUUUUCCCUGUAGCCUAAGUCUUAAACAUUUAUUUAUCAGCUUACUUUUAAUCUCUUGUGAUGGUUGAUUUUAUAUGUCAAUUUCACUGGGUCAUGAGGUGCUCAUUUUCUGUGUGUUUCUGUGGGGGUAUUUUUGGAUGAAAUUAACAUUAAAUUGGUAGACUGAAUAAAGC